rnacentral:rRNA from 1 species
CCUACGGGAGGCAGCAGUGAGGAAUAUUGGUCAAUGGGCGAGAGCCUGAACCAGCCAAGUCGCGUGAGGGAAGACGGUCCUAUGGAUUGUAAACCUCUUUUGCCGGGGAGCAAAACGCGGUACGUGUACCGCAUCGCGAGUACCCUGAGAACAAGCAUCGGCUAACUCCGUGCCAGCAGCCGCGGUAAUACGGAGGAUGCGAGCGUUAUCCGGAUUUAUUGGGUUUAAAGGGUGCGCAGGCGGCGGGUUAAGUCAGCGGUAAAAUUUCGGGGCUCAACCCCGACAAGCCGUUGAAACUGGCUGGAUAGAGUGGGCGAGAAGUAUGCGGAAUGCGUGGUGUAGCGGUGAAAUGCAUAGAUAUCACGCAGAACUCCGAUUGCGAAGGCAGCAUACCGGCGCCCAACUGACGCUCAGGCACGAAAGCGUGGGUAUCGAACAGGAUUAGAUACCCGAGUAGUC